rnacentral:rRNA from 1 species
UACGUAGGCAGCGAGCGUUGUUCGGAGUUACUGGGCGUAAAGGGUGUGUAGGCGGUUCGACAAGUCGGGUGUGAAAACUCCGGGCUCAACCCGGAGACGCCACCCGAUACUGUCGUGACUGGAGUCCGGUAGGGGAGUGGGGAAUUCCUGGUGUAGCGGUGAAAUGCGCAGAUAUCAGGAGGAACACCGGUGGCGAAGGCGCCACUCUGGGCCGGUACUGACGCUGAGGAGCGAAAGCGUGGGUAGCAAACAGG